UCAAUUCAAUGUAACAUCCGCUUGCAUGGCUGAGGCACUGGCCAUUUGAGAAGCUCUACUCAACGCAUCGACUCAACACAUCACACAUAUCUGUCUCUGCACAGACUCUCAAGUGCUCGCUCGAGCAAUCACGGCGAGAAGAAGACCGACAGAGCUCUAUGGCAUCCUCUCGGACAUCGACACUCUGACUUCCUCUCCCUCCUCUCCGUUCACUGAAUGCUCCAUC
rnacentral:lncRNA from 1 species